rnacentral:rRNA from 2 species
UGGGGAAUUUUGGACAAUGGGCGCAAGCCUGAUCCAGCUAUUCCGCGUGUGGGAUGAAGGCCCUCGGGUUGUAAACCACUUUUGUAGAGAACGAAAAGACACCAUCGAAUAAAUGGUGUUGCUGACGGUACUCUAAGAAUAAGCACCGGCUAACUACGUGCCAGCAGCCGCGGUAAUACGUAGGGUGCGAGCGUUAAUCGGAAUUACUGGGCGUAAAGGGUGCGCAGGCGGUUGAGUAAGACAGAUGUGAAAUCCCCGAGCUUAACUCGGGAAUGGCAUAUGUGACUGCUCGACUAGAGUGUGUCAGAGGGAGGUGGAAUUCCACGUGUAGCAGUGAAAUGCGUAGAUAUGUGGAAGAACACCGAUGGCGAAGGCAGCCUCCUGGGACAUAACUGACGCUCAGGCACGAAAGCGUGGGGAGCAAACAGG